UGGAAAAAGAGGUAUUGGCGUGCCUCAAUCCGAAGGCAUGGCUGAUAAUAAUUACAGGCAGGCGGGCAGCUCGAUGGAUGCAGCCAUGUUUGUUGGAUUGAGCCGCGUCAAUAUCUCUUCUUGCCUU
rnacentral:pre_miRNA from 1 species